UCACUGAACAGUUAUGGCCCCCCCUUCAAGUCGCUGACUAACUCAUAGUUAGAGAGCUGAAAAGCAGGAUCUCGUGUUUUGUUAGACAUCUCCAGCCUUUAUGACCUCUAUUAAUGGCCUCUAAAAACAUGACCUUAAUUCCACCUUACACCACAGAGUACUCCCUGCUGGGCUGCUGGGACACUCACAUAGCAUGGCAGCAGCAGCAUGAGACGAGAGAGGAGUGGGAGGAGCAGAGUCACGUGGAAGAUAGGACGGAGGAGCGGCCCUAGAACCCAUCAGAUGCAUUCAAAGAGCUCCUGAGGCAAUCCGUCCUGUGUUCCAGAUAUCAAGACUAUCAAGAUGUUUACAGAUCUUUUAUUUCUGGUUUUACAAUCCAGAAAAAGAAAAUGACGGUCCAUUUUUAUACUAUUUUCUCUUGCCACGUCUCGCCAUUUGCUACACGUUGUUCCUCUGGUGAGAGCAAUCCUGAUUACCCAUGGGGUUGUUGGAAAAAAAACAAAAACAUAAUCCACUACUGUUGGGAGUAGAAAUACUUUAAUGUUUGGUGCAGAAGGAAUACAGGAACAUUAUCUGUCACUAAACACUUUGCAGACAAGGGGAGGGGUGUCAUAAGGAGUGAGCAGACAUUUAGAAAAGAAAAUUCAGUUGGCAUACAGUCACUAAGAAUCACAAAUGCCUACAGUUUUAAAGGAUCACUGCAUUUAUCAUAGCAAUAAAAGACUAAUAUAUAUAUUUUUUAAUUUAGGGGGUAUAUAAAAAAUAUUGAAAUUACAUACACAAAUUUAAUCCAGAUCAGCUCUAAGAUCCUGAGAUAAGGCACAGCUUUAAAUAUUACACAACCUAACCACUCUGGAGGCUGUUCAGAAGUCAGAGGUUUAGGAUUUCAGGCAUUUAGCAACCCAAAUCUUCUCAUCUGCAAUAAAAAGAUGAAAUAUUAAGGGAAAGCUUAUUUUAGGCUAUAAAAAUCACAGUGACUUGCUACAAUGCAACUAUAUUCCAACAUUAACUCAGAGAAACAACCCUAAAAAGUCACCCACACUGGUGAGUUACAGAGACAGAUGUAGCUCUAAAGUCAGAGGGUCGAAUACUGGCUCAGUGUCCCAGUGAUUGAGGAUAGAACCAGCCCAAGAGGGACUGGCACCGAAGACAUAGCACCGGGGGCAUAAUCUACCUCCAUACAUUACAUGUAGGGGUAUACAGCAACACCCAACAUGCCAAGAAAUGGAGGUGCACAGAAUGGUUGAACAUUUCUAAUGCGACAGAGUCAAGUGGCCAAAUUGCUUCACCUUAAAUUACAGGCCCCUCCCUUCCCUUUCUCCCCAAAAGGCCAAACACACAGCUCCAUUUCCCAUAAAGCAACUUCAACAAUCCAGCCUAUCACCAUCCAUGCAUGCUCACCUCCAUGCAGUCUGUAAAGAACAAACUUAGUCAUGCAGCCCAAUAUAUACCAGACGAUCAUCUCAGCAACAAGGAGGUGGGCAAGAGCGGUCAGUCAGAAGACUAGUUGAAACGAGAGACUUGGAACCCACAAGAAAGCCUAUCACAGUUUAUUGUUCCACGUGAUUCCAGCAUGGCUCC